rnacentral:lncRNA from 1 species
GAAGUAUGAAUGGGAUUGAAGUAUUUACGUGGAGGACUCUGAACUCCUUCCCUUCCUGAGUCAGGAAGGAUAGGGGCCUGCUUUGAGACCUACUGAAGCUGUCUUGAAUGAUGUGACAAAUAUGUAACCAGAUGUGGUGUUUCUGGUGAGAGGCUCUGGGCUAGCCUGUCAUGUCAGUGCAGUCAUGUCUUUGCACUUGAAUUGCUUCUGGUAUGUGCCUUAAUUAAUUAAUAGUGUAAUCUGUCCAAAGAAGCCUCCUCUCUCCUUAGAUAGAGGUUUCUCAUUUAAAACG